rnacentral:rRNA from 1 species
CGCGUAGGCGGUCUGUCCAGUUAGGCGUGAAAGGCCUGGGCUUAACCCAGGAAUGGCGCUUAAUACUGACGGGCUCGAGAUCGGAAGAGGAGAGUGGAAUUCCCAGUGUAGAGGUGAAAUUCGUAGAUAUUGGGAAGAACACCGGUGGCGAAGGCGGCUCUCUGGUCCGCAUCUGACGCUGAGGCGCGAAAGCGUGGGGAGCAAACAGGAUUAGAUACCCUGGUAGUCCACGCCGUAAACGAUGAGUGCUAGACGUUGGGGGGCUUGGCUCCUCGGUGUCGCAGCUAACGCGUUAAGCACUCCGCCUGGGGAGUACGGUCGCAAGAUUAAA